CGUGGAGCCACCAGCAUGGACAUGGUCCACUGCCUGGAGUUUGAUCAGCAGAGCCCUCUCGUCGGCAGGGAGGCCAGGAACUCCCUUGUUCCAGGUGGUGAGGAGGCUCCCCAUCUGUGUAGCAUCCUCUUGUGGAGAAUGAGCUGGGGCUCGCCUCACGCGGGGAGCUUCCGAGCCAGCAAAGAUGGCAAACUAAUUGCAGCGAGUCUUUGGGGGAAAUGAAUAAAUGGACUCGUGCAGGAGCGAGUGACAUGUGCUAGAGGCUAGGAUUUACCUGUGACCAGGAGCUGAUCCCAGGACCUCUUGCACUCAAGGGGAGCAUGAUUUCCAGUGUGGGCCGCCUGGAGGAAGAACGUGUAUGUGACACACUGCAAGGAGCUGGGGAGGACGGCAUGGGUACCGAGACACUGGGCAUGAGCGAAGGCAUCACAUAGCACGGUGGAGCGGCGACCUGCGCUCUGCGGGGAACGUGGAACUUGUGAGAACGUGGGAACAAUGGAACGUGCAGAGCAAAGCGGUGCGUGCAAGGGAAGCAGCACACCCUGGAUGAAGUCGGUCCAAGCUUCUGACGGUGCCCGGGAAGACCCUGUGUUCGGUGACUGGGAAUGUCGACGAAUGACUGAAUGGACAGCCAGACUCCAUGUUGCUGAGAUCUCCGAGCCUUUCCGAAAAGCCGUGAGCAGCGCUCAGUU